AAAAAAAAAAAAAAAAAAAAAAAAAAAAAAAAAAAAAGACAGUGACCGCGCCGACGUAGCGCGAUCGCCGUAACGAGCUUGACAAACGUCCACGAACACUGAACGAUUCGUUCCGAGGAACGGUCGAAUCGUCGAAAAAUGCUUCAAACGUUACGAGAACGUUCCCAAAAGCGAAAAAAGUUGCUCGCACAAACGCUAGGCGUUUCGAGCGUGGACGAGCUGCGACAAAUUCUGGGCACCGACGUCGAUGACGCGCAAAGGAAACGAGUGAAAUCGAUACCGGAGAGGUCGGAAAAUGGCGCGAAAGACGCGAAAAACGACGCGGUCCCGACCGACGAGAUCGUUUACAAAGACUCGUCGACGUUCCUGAAGGGAACUCAGUCGUCGAAUCCGCACAACGAUUACUGUCAACAUUUCAUCGACACGGGUCAACGACCGCAAAAUUUCAUCAGAGACGUGGGUCUGGCGGACAGAUUCGAGGAAUAUCCGAAACUACGAGAACUGAUCAAACUGAAGGACGACCUGAUAGCGGAAACCGCCACGCCUCCCAUGUAUCUAAAGACGGACUUGCUCGCGUACAAUUUAAAAGAUCUGAACUGCAAGUUUGACGUUAUACUGAUAGAGCCUCCGUUGGAGGAGUAUCAACGAACCUGCGGCGCUACGAACGUUCAGCUCUGGAAUUGGGAUCAGAUAAUGGAAUUAGAUAUCGGCGAAGUGGCAGCCAAUCGAAGCUUCGUGUUUCUCUGGUGCGGCAGCAGCGACGGAUUGGACAUGGGUCGGUUUUGUCUUCGCAAAUGGGGCUUUAGACGGUGCGAGGACAUUUGUUGGAUUCGUACCAACAUCAACAAUCCGGGACACAGCAAAAAUCUGGACAGUAAAGCGGUUCUUCAGAGAACCAAGGAACACUGUUUGAUGGGAAUCAAAGGGACGGUUAGGCGAUCGACGGACGGCGAUUUCAUUCACGCGAACGUCGAUAUCGAUCUGAUCAUAUCGGAGGAGCCCGAGUACGGUUCGAUAGAGAAACCCGUCGAGAUAUUCCACAUAAUCGAGCAUUUCUGUCUCGGCAGACGACGGUUGCACUUGUUCGGUCGCGACGGUACCAUUCGACCUGGCUGGCUCACCGUUGGACCCGAAUUAACCAACACCAACUUCAACGCGGACCUUUAUACCGGUUACUUCGCCAAUGGUCAGAUCACCACCGGCUGCACCGAACGCAUCGAAGCGCUCAGACCAAAGUCUCCGCCGCCGAAGGGAAAAGUUGCCGGUCGUGGUAGAGGCGGUUUCAAUCGUGGACGAGGCAGAGGAAGUCUUGCCAUUUCUUACAGCAUUAUUUCAUCUGGAUCCGUAAUGUAUGCAAGCGCAUCACCCUCGUCAGCUCACGGAGCAACGCGAACAUUCCUUCGAAGCAUCGGUCAGCGUUUACGAACUCGACUAAACUUUCGCGAUGUUAGGAAAAGACCCACCGAUCGACGCGACGAGAAAGGACGUACGCGAUUCGCGUGGUUAAUCGCGUGGUUAACGAAGCCGAGCGUUUUACCGCGGUCGAACGUACGGUGCCGUGCCGUGCCGUUAAGAAAAUUUACAAGCUCGUCGAUGAUGAGUAUAUAAAAACAUUGUCUAUGAAAAAUAUCGAUUCUGCUAACACUAUGGGACGCAAAUUUUCGUAAAAGAAGCGCGAAACUUUUCGAUAUAUCCCGACACGAUCGGUCGAACGGAAGAAAAGGGUAGUCGUCGAAAAAGGAAGCUAAUCGAAUAAGAGAGCGCAGCACUCGCGAGGAAGAGAAGAGAAACGCAUGGAUCAUCGAACGGGAUAAGAAAGAUAGUCGAGUUUGUAACGUUCGUAGGAAGGAGCGAUGUACAGGGACGAUCGCGAUCGGCGAUGCGCUCACAAAACAUCUAUCAUUCCUCCGUCCGAGAGAAGGCGGUAUCGGCCAACGCGCUGGUCCAUGUCCACUAAGGGGGUGAACAGACACACAGAGACGCAAUCAGUCAAUAAUCGUGCGUGCAAAAUACCUAUUUACGUGCAGAAGUAAACGUUUCGAGGAGCGCGACGAAUAUUUCACACCCACCAACAUAUUUUCUAAACGGAAAAAGAAUAAGCGUGCGAGAUAGCGAGAUUCUACGUGGACUCAAAUAAAAAGCUAUUCUACCGAUUAUGCGAUAUACUAACACUUUGACGUGGUUCUUUCGUUGUCUUUCGUUCAAUAACAUUUUAUUCUUUUUAUUUAACCUGCAUCCGAGCAAUAAGCUCCUAAUCGUUACGUGAAUUAGCUUAUUAAUUAUAAGCGCCAGAAAUUUUAUCGAAUCUCAGAUCGUCAAAAUGUUAGGUUAUCGGGAACGCGUUCCGACCGGAUAUCGAUUUUCGAUCGAGCCGAAUCAAAUUGAAGAUAAUCGGUCGAAAGCGUUGCAAACGAUGUAUUCGUUUAUUU
rnacentral:misc_RNA from 1 species